UACGUAGGUGGCAAGCGUUGUCCGGAAUUACUGGGUGUAAAGGGAGCGUAGGCGGGAAGGCAAGUUGAUUGUCUAAACUAUCGGCUCAACUGAUAGUCGCGAUCAAAACUACUUUUCUUGAGUGAAGUAGAGGUAAGCGGAAUUCCUAGUGUAGCGGUGAAAUGCGUAAAUAUUAGGAGGAACACCAGUGGCGAAGGCGGCUUACUGGGCUUUAACUGACGCUGAGGCUCGAAAGCGUGGGUAGCAAACAGG
rnacentral:rRNA from 1 species